GCCACUCUCAGCCGGGCCCACAACGGCUGUGACAUUUUAGAUAAUGAUGGCUCUGUGACCUUACGUUCCAACGCACCUGUGGAUGUAACUCAAACACUAGGGACGAUAACAUCUAUGACUUCAUUCCUGGGAGUGCGCCAGACGUGGUGACGUCUUCCUGCAAAGACCCCUUCGGUACCCCUUCCGGAUCACAGCUGCCCGAUUCCUGAAGUCUCGUCUGCUCCAGUAUGGUCUCGAUCUGCCUUAGCUUACAUUUUCAGCCAUCCAGAGCUGCCCCUCCUCCUCCAGUCAGUACUCCGAAGUUCAAAUUCCUCCACUGAGUCCAGCGGAAACUUGGUGAUAACUGCCCGGCUGUAAAAGUCACCAGAGGGCAUGCUGCUGCGUGAUCAGGUUGUUCCGACUGGCUAAAGUCCUCAGUUCUAGCUAGCACGCACUUGAGCUUCUGGGGCCGCAGACUGUCCAGAAAAGAACAGACCCUUAGCCAGAUAUUGUAACACACCUGAAUUCUUAGCACAAGCAAAAAAAUGUCUGGCCACCUCUUUUUAUUUCCACAAUUGCAUUUUCUUUUUGAGGCAGGGUCUGACAUUUCUAAGGCUGAUCUGGCUUUACUUCCCAGGUGUGGGGAUGGCAGGCCUGUAACCACCAUCCCCGGUGCAUGAAGGGGAUCAAAGACAGGGCCUCGAGCAUGCUAAACAAGCUCUCUACAGACAGAGUCCACCCACAGUCUGCUUCUCCCACAUUUCCACUGUCUUAGGUACAGCAGAGGGUGAAGGAGGGGAGGGAGCAAGUGUGUGGCUGUGUGUGCACAUAUGUGGACACCCAAGUGUUGCUUCCAUCUUUAGAUAGUUCCUUUAGGAUCCACCUCCUAUCUGGAACAAUAGUUCCCUCUCCUCAACGACUGAGGAUUUUUAAGAGCUAGUCGUGACUGGUCACUUCUAGUUCGAACUGCAGUUUUCCUGUCAGCCUUCCUUGGUCAUCAGAUUCCAGCUUGAUCCCACAUCGUCCUUUCUUUCAACCCUCAGAGCACCAUACCUGAGCUAUUUAAAGCCAUGGGCAUCCCCAACAGUCGACAGUGCCUUAGGGAUGGCAACAGGAUCGUAAAGAAAACUUCAAUCUCAUGCUGGUCUGCUAGACCUGUGAUCACCCAAGUCCCUCCUAGUCUGCCUUUCUCCACAGCUUCUCAACGAAGUGCUAUGCCUGCUGUCCUCAACCUCCAGUCUUCACAGUCCCUGCAUCGCAGAUGUCCAUAAAGGACAUCAGUUAACAUACAGGCCAAGGGAGGCGCUCACACCCUUUACUACACAGACUGGUUGGACUUCCUUCAAAAUUGCAGGUGUGGGCUGGGGAAAUGACCCAGAAGAUACUGGGUCAUGCUGCACAGGCCCCGAUGACCUGAGUUUGCUUCUCAGAAGCCCUCAGUAGAGAGAACCGACUCCCCCAAAGUCCUCUGACCUUCGCAAACCCACCAUGGCACCCACACAUUCACACUCACAUGAGUGCAUUGCACCCCUAUACACACACAGGAAAAUUCAAUUCAAAGUUGCCCUGCUGGACCUGGACAUGAGCACUGGGGUGAUUUUUCUCUCCCUACAAACAUUGCUCCCCACUGCUCUCCUGUCACCUUCUCUCCUCCCUCCCCCUUUCUCUUCCCUUCCUCUCCUCCUUCUCUUCCUCUCCCCUUUUCACUGCUUUGCCUCUACAGACUAUUCCUUUUUGUUAUAAUGACAUAAAAAGAUUUCUAGUCAUUGCUCAGUGGUGAAAUUACAAGUCAUUUUUCAUUUCCCCAUUUAUAUGCUUGUGCUCUCAUUUUUACACGAUUUUUCAUAAUGAGCGAAUGUUAUUUUUCAUUAGUAAGAAAAUAAAACAAACAGGAAGCCUCAAAUGACCCCAGGAAGAAUGACGAUAGGAAAGCUGGGCUUUGCCCCGGAGGCUCUUCUUGCUCAAGGACAAUGCCUCAUCUCCCUCCAUAGAUACUGCUUCUCCUAUAACUUAAAAUAAAUAUUUCAUUACAUUUUC